rnacentral:rRNA from 1 species
AUACGUAGGGUGCGAGCGUUAAUCGGAAUUACUGGGCGUAAAGCGUGCGCAGGCGGAUUGUUAAGCAAGAUGUGAAAGCCCCGGGCUCAACCUGGGAAUUGCGUUUGUGACUGGACGACUAGAGUGCAACAGAGGGGGUGGAAUUCCACGUGUAGCAGUGAAAUGCGUAGAGAUGUGGAGGAACACCGAUGGCGAAGGCAGCCCCCUGGGUUGACACUGACGCUCAUGCACGAAAGCGUGGGGAGC